rfam:Dipodomys ordii contig_51484, whole genome shotgun sequence.
GGUGGCUCAGUGGUAGAGUGCUUGCCUUGCAUGCAUGAGGCCCUAGGUUUGAUUCCUUAGCACCA